GACGAACGCUGGCGGCGUGCUUAAUACAUGCAAGUCGAACGGUAAGGCCCUGCUGUUGUGGGGUACUCGAGUGGCAAACGGAUGGGUAACCCGUGGAUAACCACGCCUUGAAUUUGCGCUAAAUUCAGGAAACUGAGGCUAAUACCGGAUCGAAUAUCCUGCAACAGUGUAUGCGUUGGAACGUUUCGGCGGAUGGGGAUUGCGGCGCGGCUUAUCAGCUUGUUGGUGGGGGAGUGGCUUACCAAGGGUUUGACGGGUAGCCGGCCUGAGAGGGUGAUCGGCCACAUUGGGACUGAGAGAGGGCGCAGACUGCUACGGGAGGCAGUAGUGGGGAAUAUUGCACAAUGGGCGGAAGCCAGAUGCAGCAACGCUCGGUGCGUGAUGACGGCCUUUGGGUGAUGAACCGCUUUCGCCUGUGACGAAGCGUGAGUGACGGUAAUGAGUAAAGAAGCACCGGCUAACUACGUG
rnacentral:rRNA from 1 species